AUAAAUAUAUAGAAUUAAUUUAUAUAUAUAUAUAAAAAAAAAGUUCAUCUUCGAUCUUUGUCUUUGAGAGCUACAGAGCGCAGAAAUGGAGUUUCUGCGACAGACACUGGCUUCUUGGGUUGUCUUUAGAUCUGUUAUUUAUAUGUUUCCUUCUUCUUCUUCUUCUUCUUCUCAUGGCCUACUGUUUGCUAUAAUAGAUUCUGGUCUUUAGUAUUUUUACAUCCCGAUCUGUAGUUUUGAUUUCCACAUUAGCAAUUCCAGACAAGGCUUGACUGUUUGGAGCACUAGAAAAUGUUUAAGGGCUUUGAUUUUCUCAAUAGAGACCUGGGCUUCUUUGGUUCAUAUCCCGCAUUUUAGGUCCCUAUAUUUGUUUUUCAAUGUUGCAAUUUCAUCGUUUUCUUACACGUUUCUUGUUAGGACAAAGCUGAAUUGAUUUCUCAAGCUGCUAUAAAGAAGUUUGCAAAUGCAUUUGUGAAGCUGGGUAAUAUCAAUUAGGUCAACUAUGUUAUGAUGGUUCUGGAUACAAGAGUGAUAAGAUUAGGCACUUACCUAUCUGUCAGAAACUGAAGAUCGGUGGCAAAGUUUACAAGAAACUGGAAGUUAGCUGUCCUAAACAGUGACAAUACCUUCUGAUAUUCUGCAAACUGCAAUGGAAUGAAAUGUAAUAACCUGUAGAAAUAACACGUGAUGAGUUUAGCUCAUCCUCUAGUUCCAUUCAUCAAUAACUAAGGUCUCACCACAUUAUUGAUUUGGUAUAAUCAGUCUACGGAUGAUACAUGAUCCCUUUUUCUUUUGUGAUUUUUCAGUUGUGGUCGAGAAGAUACAUAAAGAGAGUGGGUGAGUAUGCAUGUAAGAGACAUUAAGCUCUUCCCUUUUAGGUUUCCCAAGAGAUACACACAGAGAAAAUGAAUAAUGGAAUGCACAUAAGAGACAACAAGUUCUUUUCUUGCCGCUAUUAUUAACAUGUUAUGUUAAGUAUUAAUAAACUAAAAAGUCACAUAUUAAUUAAUGAGAAUAAAAAGACUAACAAAAUUUAUUGAAUAUAAUUAAAACAAGAUGCAUUAGCAGUUUAAACAUGCCUCAUGGUCUAAUGAGAUAGAUUUUUGGUAGUCUCUCAUUAACCUAUUUUAGGUGUUAAAGAUAUAUGCCUGUUUGUUAUUCUUAGUUUCUGCUAUAUAGCUCCAUAAGACCAAGAGUCACACAACAAUACAUUUAAAGAUAUCUGCUUGUUUGUUAAAGAAAAAAAUAAGGUUGAAAGCAAGUUUUUUCUUUCUCCUGUUCUCGAUUUGAUACAGAACAAUGCUCUGUUGUAAUUCCUGUAUGAAAUUUAUUUUUCACAUGUCCUUAAUUUCUAAGGAGUUUAACAUUUAGCCAUUGCAAGCUGAUCACCUCGAACCACAGCUAAGACCUGCACAAGUUUCAUAAGAAUAUCAUUUAUGCUAGUGAUUCUCAAACCUGAAGCAUAGUGAUGAACAAAAGCUGAAUUACCUCACUCAUAGAAAUCCUGUGAUCUGCAUCACUUCUCAAACAAUGUAUAGCAGCAUUGAUCAUAUGAUAAACCACCCUUGUGUCAUUGCUAUCCUGCAAUCUAGGAUCUAACACCUCACUUAUCUGACCAUUCUCAAGAAGCGGCAGCGCCUACAUUACAAGAACAACAACAGCUUAUUUAAGCCUGUUUUGCAAAAGAACAGAUAGUACUAUGUUCAAGAUUUGUUUUAAAGUCAUCAAGAGUAAGAAUGAAACAAAUUACUCUGAAAACAUUCACAAAUCAACCUCUGUUCUAACGUCUGACUCGUCCCACACGGUAGGUUAUGGGACGGGUAUAGGGUUUACACACCCUAUUACUAAAAUAAGUUAUUUAGGCGGUUGGACUUGUGGUGUACAUCUAUGCAGUACAUCGUUGGGUCAACUUUUCCUUGAAAAUAUACCACAUUCAGAAAUCUAUCAGCUUACCCACUGAAUCAAACUUUGUCCUCCAUUCCAAUUUUGAUGUGAAAGAGCAGCCUUCCCACUUAUGAGUUCAAUCAAGAACAUUCCAUAAUCAUGAACAUCAAUAGAGAAUCCUUCAUCUUCCUCUAGAUUUGAAUUCCUUCAAGUAUCAAGUAAGAUUUGCAUAUGCAGUCAAGCCAUAGCUAGAGAAUUCAAUCUCACCACAGAUUCAAGUUGAAAUAUAAACAAUGAUUUUCUUACUCAGCUAGAGCAUCUUCAUUGCUUGGAGCAUUAUCUUUAUGAAGCCUCCUAGCAUUUGUGAAGUUGCCGAGCUUGAAUGGCAAUCAAAAGCAAAUGGUUAGUUCUUAUGUAAAAUUCUAAAAAUCCUAGUACCUUGUAUCAUAUCAGCCUGUAACAUGAUUUUCAAUCGAAAUUUCAGCUCAUCGAAACCCAAACUCUAUCUAAUUAUUUAUGCUUACCAUACUAGAGCAACCACUAGAGAAAAUAACAUUAGAGGAACAAACAGAGAGGUGAACAAUGGCUCCUCCAUCAACACACUCUUCGUGCAGAUAGCGCAAGCUACCGCCUAUUUCCACUGCAAUAUACCACCUUGCUUUCCAAGACAGUUUCCGAGCUGAGUUGUUAUCUAAACAAUCAGAAAAAUUCAGCUUCAAAAUUCUAAGAUUAGCUCUAUAUAGUACUCUUUAUGUGGAAAGAAGUUGCUCUUACUCAGCAAAUUUUCUUCAAGAGUUCCUAAGCAUGGGUAGUCAGAAAGCAAGAAAACUGAAGUUCCUGUGCAGCAGAAUCCGACAAGGUUUGAUAUAUUUCGAUGGCGUACUCGAGAAAGGAUCUUCAGCAUUGUCCAAAAGCGCUCAUCAUUUUCUGAGAAAGACUUUAUCACAACAGGAGUGCCCUCAAACAUUCCUUCAUAAACCUUAAUGUCAUCCUCAACUCGAAUAAGAUUCUCUUCUGAGAAACCAUUUGUGAUAUCUUCAAGCUCAGUUUGUGUAAAUGCUCGAGGAAAUCCACUUCUCCAUGACAGUGGAUACCAACAAGGACUUCGAGGUUGCACAGACAAGUCUCCUUCUUGAGAAGGAUCAACACCAUCCUGAUUGUCCUCAGUAGGGAAAGUAGGAUUAUCUGUUUGUGUGAAAUUUCCAGGUGGGGGAGCUUUUGAUGGUGUCAAAGUCGCGACAUCUUUUCCCUUCAUUACAGCAAUGUUGCAUCCUACAUGUGCAUAUAUGCAUACUUUGUGUCUCUUAAAGCAGCUGCAUCCAACAAAAAAGGAACAUCACUUAGCAUACAAGUUUGGACGUUCCAUUUUCAACUGUUUUGAACAUGAAUACCUGUCUAAAACUAUCCAACGAGGAUUGGAGUUUUGAGCUUGUUCAACUGUUAUUUUCUCAGGACAAAAUCCAAAAGCAAGUUUAACUUCCAUGUUCACCUGCAGAAAAGAAUCCUUUUACAUAUGCAAACAUCACAUGAUUUUCAGUUAGAUACAGAUAUAUGAUUAUAUAUAUAUAUAUUAACCUCGUUCUUUUUGCAGAUUCUGUAGAAUGGCUGAAGAUUAUUCUGGUACUGUUCCUUUUUUCUUUGAAUUUCUUCUCCAAGCUCUCUAGGUCUAGCUUCUCCUUGCCCCUGGCUUGAGAACUCCAAUCUUUCCCCUGAAAAAUUCAGUAACCAUAUAUAAAGCUAAUUUUUCUUUCUGCAGAUAAAACCAGCAAUUCAAUUCAAAGGAGUCUCCUUCCUGUUGAAAUGGUUGAAGGGUAUGGAACCUUACAUAUUCCAGAGAUGCUAAUGCCCAUGUUCAAAGGAAAACAAGAGUUCUUCUUUCCAAAACCACCGGAAACUCCAAGAACGAUGACGGUAUCUUGCCGGCGAACAACACGCUUGAGAGCCCAGUCUAGUGCAUCCAUGGCUCCUUUACUUCUGUUAGCAUUCAUAACAACUAUCACACUCUCCCUUGGAGAAGCAGAAACUGAUGCUUGCACCAUUUUUUUUUUUUUUUGGAUUUUAUUGUUUUCUUGAAGAUGAUAUUUCUUGUUACUGCUCCUGAAACUGAAAUGAAGAGGAAAGGCAUUUAAAGUGGUUUUGAGAGUA